rnacentral:rRNA from 1 species
GACGAACGCUGGCGGCGUGCUUAACACAUGCAAGACGAACGGUAAGGCCCUUCGGGGUACACGAGUGGCGAACGGGUGAGUAACACGUGGGUGAUCUGCCCUGCACUUCGGGAUAAGCCUGGGAAACUGGGUCUAAUACCGGAUAGGACCACUGCCUGCAUGGGUGGUGGUGGAAAGCUUUUGCGGUGUGGGAUGGGCCCGCGGCCUAUCAGCUUGUUGGUGGGGUGAUGGCCUACCAAGGCGACGACGGGUAGCCGGCCUGGGAGGGUGACCGGCCACACUGGGACUGAGAUACGGCCCAGACUCCUACGGGAGGCAGCAGUGGGGAAUAUUGCACAAUGGGCGCAAGCCUGAUGCAGCGACGCCGCGUGAGGGAUGACGGCCUUCGGGUUGUAAACCUCUUUCAGCACCGACGAAGCGCAAGUGACGGUAGGUGCAGAAGAAGGACCGGCCAACUACGUGCCAGCCGCCGCAGUAAGAC